rnacentral:snRNA from 1 species
UGGGGAGUUUGGCUGGGGCGG